rnacentral:tmRNA from 1 species
GGGGAUGAUCGGCUUCGACAGGCGUGUCUCUGCCCGUGCGCGCGAUCGAGCUGUGAUGACUCGUAAAACCGUCACAAACGAUAAGUGCGAACUUGUCUCUUAAAGCAAAAGGUAUUGCCUCUUCCUACUUUGGAAUACCGUCCUUCGCUCCCGCUUUCGCCUAAUCAAGACCUCGUGUCUCGAUUCGCCUAAGCGGCGUCCUCUCUUCUGACGUCCGAUAUGUCUGAGAGGGUGUCAUACUCAUCGGACUGGAGCAUCUGACCGUUUCAUCAGACGCUCGAGAAUCGACGAAACUCGACUGAUUGUCGUUUUGUUUGUUUCAAAAACAAUCGGUUCAAAUCCAAAAAACAACCUACAUCGCGUAGACCCACUCGCAAACCACGUUUGGACGGGGGUUCGAUACCCCCCAUCUCCACCA